CACCCCGGCGUUUUCGGCUUGCCAACAGAGCGCCUGCACUGCGCGCUACAUCCCCGAAGCAACAACGCCGCGGUGGAUCUGGCUCCGGCCAUGGCAAGCGUGAGGCGCGGGCCACCGGCAUCAGUCGGGAAGGAGAACCAGCGGCCCAAGAACCUUGGCCACGGGAAGGCGACGACUGCGACGACGACCGCCGAGCUGACGAAGCCCACGGAGCCGGAGCCAGCGCCCGUGGGGUAGCGCUAACGCCACCUCCACCGCCGCUGAGGCUGUCGUCGCUAUAGCUCCGCAUGGAGGACGAGGCGGCGGCUGCGCAGGCGCAGACGCAGGCGCCGCCCGUGUUCGUCGUCAGGCCCAGGAGCAGGGAGCUGCUCCCGCCGCCGUCCUCCAACUACGAGGCGUGGGAUCUCUCCGACAGCGAGUCCGCACCGGCCUCCUCCUGGGCCACGCUCCCCAACAGGUACACCGUGGCACCACGCAGCGUUGGAGCGCAAGGUCAAGCGAGAUCGCGGCAGCCGGGGCGAGCGGCGUCGGCGUCACGAGCCACGACGGGCCGAGGGAUGCCUGCGCGCUAUGGCCGGGGCUAUUGGCGGUGGCCGGCGAUGGAUUCGGGGUCUAGCGGUGACCCGAUUCGAGGUGACGUCCUAGGGACUGCCGCCAACGCUUUGAUUUCUUCCUUUCAGCCCAACCCGGCCCAAAGCCGGGAGAUCACGGCACUCCGUCCAACCCUCGACGCCACCGAUCCCCCUUUCCACCGCCUCUCAUCCUCGUCGCCGGUGAAGAUGAUUCCGCAGAGCCAGAGCAGCUCCCUGCAGCACCUUCAACACGUCGAGAAGGUGCCCUGUGAUGAAGAUAGCAGAUAAAGGAGUUGAUCUUGUUAGAAUAACCGUCCAGGGUAGGAAGGAAGUUGAUGCCUGCCUCUGAGAUCAAGAAUACUCUGGUUCAGAAGAAGAUGAAGAGCCUCAUCAGUAGAGGAAGAUGCAGAAAAAUAAAUGCUAUAGAAUAACAUUAAAACACGAGCCACGGGUGAAACCCUCAGGGCCCUCGCACUGAUGCAGUCAGCGCGCACUGCCACGAGUUCAUGAUCGUUAUGAAGGAAAUUCAAAUGAUUUUGUGUGAGGAAAUCAAAAGUGCUUGUGAAUAUCGUCCAUUUGAAAAAUGUGAUUACAGCGCAAGGAUUGCUAAUGAGAUAUGUUGCAAGAAGCUGGAGUAUGUAAUUGAGAAGUUGGAUACCAUGCAACAGAACCUUGAACAGAGCACUGAUGAUGUUUAGCGAGCUGGCUACAUAUUAGUAAGUGUACCUUUUUUUGCAAUAAAGUGUAAACUACUUAGCGAAUAAGAGGAUACUUUAUGAUGACAGUAUCCACUCAAUCAAGUGAUUGUGUCAAUACUUUGCCGUAGCGUUAGCAUGAUUUUAGAGCUUAGGAUAAGAAAUAAAGUUUCAAAUUUUUUGCUCUCC